AAGAAGAAAAUUACCACAACCAACCUUUAAAGGCAAAUUCAAAUUAUGUCGUGUUCUUAAGGUUUUUUGAAAGUCAAGAUUCAUACUACUCGACAGAGUGGAGUGAUAGUAUUUACACAAUGG